CUCAGUGGUUCAGUUGAUAAAGCUUUGUGUUUUACUCCAGGAGAUCUGAGUUCAAAUCUCACUACUGCUUACUUUAAAUUGAUCUCAGACAACAAAGUCACUCAAAUGCCAAAAAACAACAAGCAAUCCAUGAUGGGUAAGUGGAUAAACACACAUUCUCUGAGGAUGAGCUUGCAAUGGAGACAUGGGUUCAAAACCCACCUCCAAAAAUCACAGACCCAGCUUACUUUAACUUCUUUAUUGGGAAAUCACAGGUAAACAGUCAAAUAUAAGUUCCUUCUGGUGGUUCAACAAGAGACCUGUGGCUCACAGGUAAGAGCGCUGCCUCACGGUUCAGAGGUUGCUGGUUCAAUCCCAGCCAGGUCUCUGCGAUAUGAGUGAAUGGUGGAGUGUGUGUGAAGGCGCGCCCAAAGAAGGGGGAUAUCAUUACGGUCUCCCCCUGGAGCUUCGGGCACUGUGACCAGCAGCGGUUAUGCUUUUGGACAGACGAAAAAAAAAAUAAAAAAUUAAAGCUGCAUUAAAAACUCUCAUCCCCC
ensembl:lncRNA